rnacentral:rRNA from 1 species
AUGGUGGAGCGUGGACUCCAUGCCAAUCACCUCAUGAUAACGGACCUCUCCCGUGAUCUCAAGGUGGAUGGCAAGCCCAUGAAGGACAUCGUCUUCACCUUCAAGGAGCAAAUCAACUUCCUCCAAAGCCAGAUCUACGACCUCCAGAACCAAGUCUUUGAAUAUGAGGCAAGGUUUAAAGGUAUGAGUUUGGCUGCUAGUUGCAGGACCUGUGAGUCUCACUCUUCCUCUUAUGAUGGUGGACCACUGCCAUGGAAAUCUGAGAACAAGGCCUCUUCUUCAUCACCACCACCAUCUUAUUCAUCACCAAAGGAGAACUAA